CUGCCUUUGGCAUGUCCCUGCCACCUUGUCACUCCUUUUCCAGGUGCAGCCAGUUAGCAUGCAGGUGGGGAUGUGGGUGGGGGACAGCACCAUCACUGGAUUAACUGCCCCAUUUUACAGAUGGGAAAAUAAGCCCGAGGGAGGAAGAGGUUCACAGACUGGUGCCUCUCGUGCUCCAUUUUUCCUGAAGCAGAGGGAAGGAGGUCACUGAGAGUCACAAAGCGUGGGGCGCUGCAGUUGGAGGCACAGUCCCUGUCCCCAGGUGGACUUGACCUUCUGUGGCUGUGUCUGUGGCCUGCUUCAGAGAAGGCUUGGUGAUGCGAGAACAAUGAAACCAUUCGCCAAGACGGUCGCAGUCGAGGAGAGUGGCUGGGCUGCUGGGCCGUGAGCCAGCAGUGUGAGCUGUGCGUUUCCAUCGUGGCUCCGUCUGGAGAGCUGCUCAGAAACGCGCAGGCAGAGGGGCCCACCCACGGCGCAAGUGGGGUGCGUAGGUAUCCUGAGGCCGGGCUGCCCCGCUGUGCACCUCAUCUCGUUGCCUGUCUCUGGGGACCGUUUGACCUGGCCCUCAGGGCAGGGACUUCCUCCUUCUUAGCAGGGUCCAGUGCUGCCUCCCAUCUGUCACCCAUGCUAACAGUGGCCCCAGCCGAGGGGACACACGCACCCAGCUCGUGUCCCUCUUCCCAGCCAGCCUUCUUUGUCUUGAACACUGGUGAUCAUCACUGGUCACGGUCUCAGUCUACCAGGCUGGAGCAUCUCCUCAGGCCAGCCUGUGCUUCGGGCGCAGGCUCCCCCGAUAGGGACCCACACUGGCUAUUCAUACCCUCUGUGUUAGUGUUAGUCACUUUCCCUUCCCUGGGAUAAAAUACUUGACACCCAAAAUUUAAAAGAGGAGGUGUUUAUUUGGCUCACGGUUUCAGAGGUCCAGUGCAUAGUAGGCUGGCUCCAAGGCAGAAACAGCAUGGUAGAAGGGCCUGGGUGCAGGAAACCUGGUCACAUCAUGGUGGCCAGGAGGCAGAGAGAGAAGGGAGGAGCUGAGGACAAGAACAGACCCUUCCAGGUUAUGGGCCUGGUGACCUGACCUACCCCUCCCCCAGGCCCCACCUCCUGACAGCAUAGAACUCUUCCGUGGAUGAACACAGCGCCCCUGUGAUCCAGUCACCUCCAAAAGCCCCACCUCUGCACAUGGGAGACUUUGGGGGGAUAUUUUAGAUCUAAAUUAUACCACAAUGGUCUUUGCUGUCACCAUCUCUGCUCCCCACCAUGUGGUUUGCCUGCUUCUAGACUCGUGAAGCCCAGGGCUUUGUCUCUUGUACUACUGCCACAGGGACAGUCAAGACACAGGCUAAGGUACUAUUUCUUGCAUGGAAGGAUAGCCAAACAAAAGUCCUGAGACCUUGUCCUCAGGGAGCUCUUUGGCAGAUAGGCCCUGAAGGCUCCAGAGGAAUCGGGGUGGGCGUUCCCAGAUGUGAAAGAUGACCAUGGGCCAGAGUGGCCAAGGAAGGCUGCUCGGAGGAGGGGGCAUUUAAGAGAAGCACUGGGGAUGGAGAGCUUUGGCUACUGCAGGGCAGGGAAGAGGAGGAGGAAGGAUAUGCUGGGCGGUGGAUGGGCAGGAAGAGAGGAAGGGGUGCGUGUGGAGGUUCAGGGGCAGGUCAGCCAGCGCCAGGGACUUCAAGGGAGUAAUGGUGGAGACGUCUACAGGGAUGGUCGGGACCCAAGGGAAGGCAGGGUUGGAGGGAACUUAUCCUGCAGAUGCAGAUUGUGCUGAACAGGAGGGUAGGGACAGAGCAGUGUUUUAGGAGAUUAGUCUGGUGGCAGGGAGCUGCCAGGAUUGGAGGAGACUGGAGCCCGGCUAAUUACACAGGCCUGGGACUCCCUCACGUACCCUCAGUACCAACCUGUCCCCUGCAGUGGUGGGAGGGCUGGGGUGGCUCCUGCUCCUCCCAGCCUGUUCACACCAAGGAGGGAGGAGGCAGCAGAGGACUUUGAAGGUGGGGCUGGGUGCUGGCUCGGCAGCCUUGUCCUCAACUGCAAAGUAGGGAGAUCCAGCGGCACCCUCACCCCAUCCUGGCCCAGCUGAGGAGCAAAUGAAGCCCAAGGAGGGGACGUGCCCUGUGUGCUGACAUUCUGGAUUUCAUCCCUCCUAGAAAGUCUGGCCAUGCUGGUGUGGCCCAUAGGUGGGCUCUGGCUUGCCCAGGUUCUCUCAGUUGGAGCCCAUUUGGGGAUCUGAGAUUUGUAACCAAGCUGUGUGGCCGCAAGCAGUAACCUCCGUUUUCCAGGCCUCAGUGUUCGGCUCUGUGUAUGGGCGCACCCCAAAACUCCUGCUCCUGCCCCAUGGCUCACAGGGAGUGUGUGCUGGGCUCGGUGCUAGGAGAGCGAGUAGGCCUGGGUGUGGCUAGGGGCGUCCUCUGUGGGCAGGGCCGCGAUCGCCUGGCAGGACUGUCCUCAUGACAGUGUUACAACGCUGGCUUGUAAGCCUUGGGGCCAAAGCCGAGAGGUUCCACUGCGCGCCUCUGGCUCUCUGGUAACUUCUAGGGUCAUUUUGCAUUUACUGGUGUGUCCUGUGUGCCGCCCCCUUGCUGGUCUCCUUGGUAACUCACCCUUAUCAGAUCCCUGUCUGUGCCCCCUCUGAGCGACACUCAGGUCCCAGCACAAGCUGCAGGCAGCCUCCAGGUAACUUGCUUUUCGGUAAGAUGGGGUUUGGGGUUUUUUAAAAACAGAUUUCGUUUCUCUGAUAACAGAGCCCUUGAGAGAGUGAGGAGACAGCACCGGAAACAGUACCCACACCGCUGUUUCAAUAUGAAGCAGGCGGUUGAGGGGCUGAGUUGGCAGCCAAUAGGGGAGAGGCCACUCAGUGGGGAAACUGAGACUCAGAGAGCAAAAGGGACUGUUUCUGAAGCUGCCCAGAAAGAGACUGGAUGGGUGCAGGAAUUAUUUUAUUUUUCCUAACCACUGCCACUGCCACUGCCACUACCACAUGCAGGAGACUUGUUAUGCUUCUUAAAGGGUGACAAGCAACUUGUGUGCAAAUUAUCUCGUUUAAUUUACCAGUGAACCCUGAGAGGCAGGGACUGUUUGCAUCUCCCCUUGACACCCCUUGUGCAUGGUUCUGGUGACAGGUGAUCACUAGACCAUGCAACAGUAGACUGUUGGUGGCAGGAUUUGAACUCAGGCCUCCCACUGUCCUUGGUCACCCUGCUGUGCCCCAGUCCCUGGGCUGCCCAAUGCAGCAGCGGGACAUCUUCCUCUUUCUAGAAGGUGUGGGUGCAGAGGAUCUUCUGUAUUGGGGAGAUAAAGGAGCCCGUUUGGGAUGAUUUUUAUCAGCUCUAGCAAGCUGGUUUGACUUACAGGAAAAAGCCGAUUUGCAUUUGGGGAGAAGCUGCAUGUUAAGGCUGCGGUGAGCACCGGGCGGAUUUAUAAAUAAACAGUGGGCUAAGGGCAUUGUCUGUCCCCAGCCAUACAAUGCUGGCCUCAUAUUGACACCACAGCCUGUUCUGCACGUCAUGGCUGCCCUUUGGGCAGAAAGGCAUGCUUGAGUAAGAGAAGCCACUGGAAAUGCCAAGGAGCCCAGCCUCCGACCCAGUGUCCUGGGCAUCCCAAGCCCCAGCAAGUGCAGAGCUGCUGGUGAUGACAAAAGGGACAUUCGAGGCCUGGGGCCUCCUGUAGACCCUGAGGGAGCCCUUGACUGGGUCUGGGAGUCUGGAUCUGGUACUGAGCCCAGUCUGAGCCCACAUGCCGCCCCAGCAGGCUUCCUGGCUCCUGAGGCCUUGAUCUUUGGCUCUGAAGUGAGUCCUUCUCUCCUCCCAGUCUCCUUUGAGAAUCUAGUGAGAUGAAGGCAACAGGAGAUGGACCAGGUGUCCCUGCCCUGCCAGCACAGUGGGUGACUCUGGACAAGUCCAGGGCCUCUCUGGGCCUCACUGGGCCUCACUGUCCUCUUUAGAAGGCAAUGAAGCUGCAUGCUGGUCAGAAGUCCAGGACCUGUGGGGGCUGCUCCUGCACCUGGGGGGACCCUGAGAGGUCUGUUCCUGAACACUGGGGACCCCAGGAGUACUGCUUACACUCCUUCCUCGGCAUACAGGUACUCCCUCCAGCCUGGAUUCAUAUCCCUUGUCUUCCAUCCUGGGACCUCAGGCAUCCGAGGUCCACUCUCAGCACUCCCUCUUUAUGGGUGUAGUCGGAACAAUUGGGGUGGUUAGGAGGAUGAAAUAUAGUAAUGUAUGGUUAGUGCUCAGCAUAAAGCCGGCCCCAUGGUGAAUGUUCAUAAAUAAAUUAUGUCAGUAAUAUUUAUUUCAGGGGGAAAAAACCUGUUUUCAAGGCAGAGCACUAUCUACUAAGUUGAAUAUUCUCCUGAUUUAAUUCCAGGUGGUACUAAAUAACAAUAAUAGCCAUCACGCCCAUGGCUGGAAGGCUGCCCCAUGAGGCCAACGCUUAGCCCCACAGGCCUCCUGACGGUGGCCCUCCUGGUGCCCAGCUGACCUCCCUGUGUAGUUAAUCAUGGUUUUGUCUCUUAUCUGGCUGCUCUGAGGAUAGACGUGAAGUAUCACCUGUCCCUCCGUGCGCCUGGCCAUCACCUCAGGCCUGGGAUGCCUUAACUAGUGCCACCUUGAGGCAGCCCCCCCAUACCCAUUCACCCAAAGACCCCCCUAGACCCCUGCAUGCCCAGGUACCACAAAUCUUUCCUCCUCCGAGGCCUGUCCUCAUUCUAGGUUUCUCUUGGGUCUCUGUCUUGGGGUUGCUGUCUGGUGUCCCGGAACCGAAGUCACCAUGGUCAGUGAGGACCAUUAGCAGAGAGCAGCAUUAAAGGCCCUUUGGGUGUCCUGCUCCUGGGGACUUAGGGAUACCUCUCCUUGGUCCUGAACCUAAAGGCCCGAGAGACAGGUGCUCCCCCAUCACCUCUAACACCUGUUUAGUGGUAGAGGCGAUCAGGCAAAACAUAAAGCACUCAUGUGUUUUGCUUAAUGUGGGGCUGGGAUUUGAACCUGGCUCCUGACCUGACCAAAAGCCCACAGCUACCUGCUCCCACCUGCUGCCUCCAUGGACUCCUGGGGAAAGCGGAAUGUGGAACAGGUCCGUAGGGAGGGCCAGCAAGUCCCUAGGGGUGAGUGCUUUCGAAGGGAGCCGGGCGUGGGAGGUUUCUCAGACCUCCGGGAGUGCAGCCGGGGCUGGAAGAGGUCCCGGGGCUUGGGAACCAGCAGCCAUCUUCAGCCAGACCCUACCCACUCUCAACAGGGACCUGGCAGGGGCCAGCACCCUCCUAGGCUCUUGGGUCAGAACAGAGACCAGAGCAGACAAGAUCCCUGUCUGCAGGAGUCAAAGGGAGAAGUUCCUUUAGCCAACUGGGACCCUUCUAUAGAUUUGCCAAGUGCUCAGAAAGAAGCUAGGUGCUGGAUGGGAAAUUCCAGGAGGUGGGCGGGGAGCCUUUAUAUAAGGAAAGCUUUUCCAAGAGGGGGCCACUUGAUGAUGGAGGUAGGAAGGGGACAGCAUUGCCAGGGCCAAGAAACUGAAAGCAGGCCUGGGUGGCUGGGGACAAAGGGCCAGGGACACAGCAGCUGGGGACGAAGUAGACCCCACGCACACCCUUCAACUUCACUUGGCCCCAGAAACAACAGUGCUGCCAGGCCUGCACCGGAUGCGGCCCAGGUCCAGACAUGGCCAGCACUGCUGGUGGGUUCCACGUGGGGCCUGCUCCCUGCCCAGACAGGGGCACAUGACAAUGACAUCAUGGCUAUUUCUGCCUGCCGCUGGCCCCCUCCCAUCUUGGUAGCAUGAAUGGGAGGCCUGGGUCAGCUCUUGCUCUGCUUUGCUGAAUACCACCUCCUACUCCUGUGUCACUGAGGGCAGAAGCUAAUGCCAAGGGGCACAAGGGCCAUUGCCUCAGGAUCUCCAGAUAAGUGCAGGUUCCCAGCCUGGGGUCACCCUGGCCCAUACCCUUUAUUUAUUUACUCUGGUCCUUGCUCAGAGCCCAGAAGCGAGCUGCCUGGAAUGAAAUGUGAAGAACUCGAAAUGAUAAUGAAAUCAAUUGGACUGUUUCCCCAGUAAUUCUAGAGACUGACGCAUCAUUAAUGUUGGUAAUACAGAGCCUGUCAGAUCACAAACUUCUCAAUAAAUGUGCAGCUGGCAAGCUCUGAUAGAAAUUGGAGGCAAGCAGAGAAUGAGAUUUGGGGCCUUUGAUAUAUGGGGUGUCAGUGGCAUGGUGAAGUUUUUAUCAAUUUCUGUCACUUUGGGCUUUUGUGCUCACUACAUAUGUGGUCUCCGUAGCACCUCUUAGAGGCUGCCUGGAUGCUAACUGCACCCCCACCCAAUAGUGUAAGGAAGAGGAGCUGGUGGGGGGCCUUGACAUGCACCCUCACCCUUCUGUGGGGCCCCUUCCCACGAGCUUCUCAGGCCCGUGAGCCAGAGGGCUUGAACCUGAGACGCCUGUGGGUGUUGCAGCCACUCCACAGCCUUGAGUCUGUCCCUGUGAAUUAAAGACACCCCUAGGCCCCAUCCAGGGUACGCCAGCUGCCUGGAUGGAAGCCUAGGGUUUGGGAGUGUAGGGGUGGUUUCUCGGCCAUUCCUCCCAAUGGAUCAAGAGUCAGGG
rnacentral:lncRNA from 1 species